rnacentral:rRNA from 1 species
GACGUAGGGCGCGAGCGUUGUCCGGAUUUAUUGGGCGUAAAGAGCUCGUAGGCGGCUCGUUGCGUCGGCUGUGAAAACCCGCAGCUCAACUGUGGGCUUGCAGCCGAUACGGGCGGGCUGGGAUUCGGUAGGGGAGAGUGGAAUUCCUGGUGUAGCGGUGAAAUGCGUAGAUAUCAGGAGGAACACCGGUGGUGUAAACGGCUCUCUGGACCGCUACUGACGCUGAGGCACGAAAGCGUGGGGAGCAAACAGG